rnacentral:rRNA from 1 species
CAGCCGCCGCGGGAAUACGUAGGGUGCGAGCGUUAAUCGGAAUUACUGGGCGUAAAGCGUGCGCAGGCGGUUGUGUAAGACAGGUGUGAAAUCCCCGGGCUUAACCUGGGAACUGCGCUUGUGACUGCACAGCUAGAGUAUGGCAGAGGGGGGUGGAAUUCCACGUGUAGCAGUGAAAUGCGUAGAGAUGUGGAGGAACACCGAUGGCGAAGGCAGCCCCCUGGGCCAAUACUGACGCUCAUGCACGAAAGCGUGGGGAGCAAACUGGAUUAGAUACCCCAGUAGUCCCUGUCUCUUAUAA